UACGUAGGGUUCAAGCGUUAAUCGGAAUUACUGGGCGUAAAGCGUGCGCAGGCGGUUUUGUAAGUCUGACGUGAAAUCCCCGGGCUCAACCUGGGAAUUGCGUUGGAGACUGCAAGGCUGGAGUCUGGCAGAGGGGGGUAGAAUUCCACGUGUAGCAGCGAAAUGCGUAGAGAUGUGGAGGAACACCGAUGGCGAAGGCAGCCCCCUGGGUCAAGACUGACGCUCAUGCACGAAAGCGUGGGGAGCAAACAGG
rnacentral:rRNA from 1 species